rnacentral:rRNA from 1 species
CGGUAAACAGAGGGAAGCGAGCCCGCGAGGGGGAGCGAAUCCCAAAAAUAAACGUCCCAGUUCGGAUUGUAGUCUGCAACUCGACUACAUGAAGCUGGAAUCGCUAGUAAUCGCGAAUCAGCAUGUCGCGGUGAAUACGUUCCCGGGUCUUGUACACACCGCCCGUCACACCAUGGGAGUCAGUAACGCCCGAAGCCGGUGACCCAACCAAGAAUGGAGGGAGCCGUCGAAGGUGGGACCGAUAACUGGGGUGAAGUCGUAACAAGGUAGC